rnacentral:rRNA from 1 species
GUAACAAGGUUUCCGUAGGUGAACCUGCGGAAGGAUCAUUAUCGAGUUUUGACUGGGUUGUAUGGCUGGCCUUCCGAGGCAUGUGCACGCCCUGCUCAUCCACUCUACACCUGUGCACUUACUGUGGGCUUCAGAUCGUGAAGCGGAUCGUUUACCGGUCCGUGAAGCGGUCUGUGCCUGCGUUUAUUACAAACUCCUAAAAGUAUCAGAACGUGUAAUGCGAUGUAACGCAUCCAUAUACAACUUUCAGCAACGGAUCUCUUGGCUCUCGCAUCGAUGAAGAACGCAGCGAAAUGCGAUAAGUAAUGUGAAUUGCAGAAUUCAGUGAAUCAUCGAAUCUUUGAACGCACCUUGCGCUCCUUGGUAUUCCGAGGAGCAUGCCUGUUUGAGUGUCGUGAAAUCUUCAACCUACGAGCCUUUGCGGGCUUUGUUGGGCUUGGACUUGGGGGCUUGUCGGCGAAUUUGAGUCGGCUCCUCUUAAAUGCAUUAGCUUGGUUCCUUGCGGAUCGGCUCUCGGCGUGAUAAUUGUCGACGCUGCGACCGUGAAGCGUUUUGGCGAGCUUCUAACCGUCUCGUUGGAGACAGAAUUUGACCUCUGACCUCAAAUCAGGUAGGACUACCCGCUGAACUUAAGCAUAUC